rnacentral:rRNA from 1 species
UACGAAGGGGGCUAGCGUUGCUCGGAUUGACUGGGCGUAAAGGGCGCGUAGGCGGUUCGUACAGUCAGACGUGAAAUUCCUGGGCUCAACCUGGGGGCUGCGUUUGAUACGUGCGGACUUGAGUGCGGAAGAGGGUCGUGGAAUUCCCAGUGUAGAGGUGAAAUUCGUAGAUAUCAGGAGGAACACCCGUGGCGAAAGCGGCUCUCUGGGACGGUACUGACGCUGAGACGCGAAAGCGUGGGGAGCAAACAGG